rnacentral:rRNA from 1 species
UACAAGCCAAAUUAAGGUGAAACCGCGAAAGGCUCAUUAAAUCAGUUAUGGUUCCUUAGAUCGUACACACAUUUACUUGGAUAACUGUGGUAAUUCUAGAGCUAAUACAUGCAAACAGAGCUCCGACCGGAGACGGAAGGAGCGCUUUUAUUAGAUCAAAACCAAUCGGUGGCGGGCUUGCUCGUCAUCGUAAUACUUGGUGACUCUGAAUAACUUUUCGCUGAUCGCACGGUCCUGCACCGGCGACGCAUCUUUCAAAUGUCUGCCUUAUCAACUGUCGAUGGUAGGUUCUGCGCCUACCAUGGUUGUAACGGGUAACGGGGAAUCAGGGUUCGAUUCCGGAGAGGGAGCCUGAGAAACGGCUACCACAUCCAAGGAGGGCAGCAGGCGCGCAAAUUACCCACUCCCGGCACGGGGAGGUAGUGACGAAAAAUAACGAUACGGGACUCAUCCGAGGCCCCGUAAUCGGAAUGAGUACACUCUAAACCCUUUAACGAGGAUCAAUUGGAGGGCAAGUCUGGUGCCAGCAGCCGCGGGAAUUC